GUGCAGCAGGCGCGAAAACUCCGCAAUGCGCGAAAGCGUGACGGGGUCACCCCGAGUGCCGUCCGCUGAGGAUGGCUUUUGCCUGGUCUAACCAGCCGGGUGAAUAAGGGGAGGGCAAGUCUGGUGUCAGCCGCCGCGGUAAUACCAGCUCCCCGAGUGGUUGGGACGAUUAUUGGGUCUGAAGCGUCCGUAGCCGGCCGGAAAAGUUCCCCGUUAAAUCUGGCGAUCCAAUCGUUGGGCUGCGGGGAAUACACUUCGGCUUGGGGGCUGGGGAGGCCGGCGGUAUUCCGAGGGUAGGGGUGAAAUCCUAUAAUCCUAGGAGGACCACCAGUGGCGAAGGCGGCCGGCUAAAACGCGCCCGACGGUGAGGGACGAAAGCUGGGGGAGCGAACCGGAUUAGAUACCCGGGUAUCC
rnacentral:rRNA from 1 species